UACGAAGGGGGCUAGCGUUGUUCGGAAUUACUGGGCGUAAAGCGCACGUAGGCGGACAUUUAAGUCAGGGGUGAAAUCCCAGAGCUCAACUCUGGAACUGCCUUUGAUACUGGGUGUCUUGAGUAUGGAAGAGGUGAGUGGAAUUCCGAGUGUAGAGGUGAAAUUCGUAGAUAUUCGGAGGAACACCAGUGGCGAAGGCGGCUCACUGGACUGGUAUUGACGCUGAGGUGCGAAAGCGUGGGAGCAAACAGG
rnacentral:rRNA from 1 species